GAAGGGAGGGAAGAAGAAGAUUAUAUGUUAGCUUUCAUGGGUAAGUCGCAUGUGUUCUAAAUGUCCGGGUGAAAAUUCCACGUUUAGGAUGUUUGUAGAUUUAUGCAAAAUGGUACAAUCCAAGUGGCUUUAGUUCAAAAACCUUAUUUUCGUAAAUGGAGCUCUAUCUAGGAAACCCUGUAAACCCGGUGUUUACUACUUUCAGUAAAAAUGAAAUGGCAAACUCGCAUGUCAUGCCUCGAGCAUAUAUGCUUGUCAACAACGCAAUUGUUGCAAUACACGUCUCUGAACUAACCAUCAGAGAUCUAUGUGCUGUCACUAUUGAUGUAUCCGUUGGAACCUCAACUGGAAAUACGUCUAUUGUUCAGUUAAUCAGAUUUGUGCCCUCGAAAUCGUGAAUAGGUGCCAAACUCGACCAUUUUGGGAUUCUAACAUGUCUCUUCUUAAUGAAGCAUGCCCUACGGAUGCUUUCAAACAAGUCAUCGCAUAAUACACUUCAAAAGGCCUUCCGCUAAUUGUUGGCAGUCAUGCUAAUGCGCAUCAGAUCAUUCGGGGUAGCUCAGACAUUAAUUUGAGAGGCUCUAUUUUGAUGGAAUACUGAAGUGAAUUAUCGCAUUACCUAACAUUGACAACAGCCCACCCUUCAUGGUAUCUCCUAGAGAGGAAGUGUUGACCCAUUGGCAUGUGUCAGAUAAAGAAUCUUGUUUCGAUCAUCGCUACAUGUUUUUUGGACAUUUAAAUCAUGAUUUAAAUGUUACUUCGCAAACUUUGCGCUUCAGGAGUCCCAGAUAAACCAACUGGAAUCUCUUAACAGAUUUGGAUGCGGCCAACAUAGAUACUCACAAUCCAUUGUCACUCCAAGUGAUUUCGUUGAUAUUACAACGUCUCCUUCAUCAUGGCAGCUUUUGAAGAAGCUUGCCCUCUGCGGCCUGUGAAGACCACAAGAGGAACCCCUCGGUGGAACUCUGAUCUGGCGAAGCUCAGGAAACAAUGUAGAAAGGGUUGGAACAGACGACGUUCUGCUGGAUCGGAGGCUUUAAGGUCGGCUCGCAACCGCAAGGCCUACCAGAAAGCUCUUCGGUCUGCUGAACGAUCCUGCUGGAAAAACCUUUGUACCAAUGUUUCCAGUCUGAGUGAAGCCAGUCGAAUGAACAAAAUCCUUGCAAAAUCUGAGGAUUUUCAAGUAAACGAACUUCGUUUGCCAAAUGGUUAUUUAACUUCCUUUGAUGAGGAAGUUUUGGAAUGUUUAUUCAGUACAUACUUCCCCGGAUGUGUGGAUAUUACAUCUUCGGAUGAACCUGAUGUUUUUUUUCUUGUAGUUAUGAAUCUUUAGCUUCGGCUCGGAGUAUCAUAACUUUAGAAUCGAUUGAAUGGGCACUAAAUAGCUUUACUCCUUUCUUCUGGGGCAGAUGGGAUUUAUCCUAUUUUGCUUCAGAAGGGAUUUGAUCAUUUUAAACAUGUUUUGAAACAACUACUGGUUUGCAAUUUUGCUACAGGGUAUACUCCCAAAUCCUGGCGGGAUAAUACUGUAAAGUUUAUUCCGAAAGUGGAUCGGGCGUCAUAUGAAGAAGCAAAGAGUUUCAGACCUAUCAGUUUGACCUCUUUUUUUCUGAAAUGGUUAGAACGCAUUGUCGAUCAUCACAUCCGUUUCGUACCUUUUAAUUCCGCCCUAUGUUGCUUAUCCUUUGACGCGUAUUUCGACUACCACUUGUAAUCUUCCUCAGUGUCAGUUAUCCACUCGAAGAGGGUAUUCUGCUUAGAGGGUUCGAAAAGUCGGUACAAGAUCACAUCCGUGCUGUUCAUCUGCCAAUGUGCCUCUUCAUGCGAACCAACAUGCUUAUCAAUCAGGAAAGUCCGCUGUGACUCUUUUACACAAAGUUGUUUACGAUAUCGAGAAGGCGUUUGCUCAAAAGCAAUCUUGCUUGGGUGCUUCUUAGAUAUCGAAAGUGCCUUUGACAACGUGCCUUUCGAUGCCAUCUUGAACAGAGUCGCACGGAGUCAUGGUAUAUCUCCAAUGAUUUCCAAUUGGAUUUACCGAAUGCUCAAAAACCGACAUCUCUCCGCGACAUUGCUUUAAGCGGCGAUUAGAAAAUUGAGUGUUUGUGGAUGCCCCCAAGGGGGCAGUCUUAUCACCACUUUUGUGGAAUCUCAUAGCAGAUACGCUAUUGAGGCAACUCAAUAAUAGCGGUUUUCCUACUUAUGGUUUUGCCGAUGACUUCCUAACAUUGUUAGUCGGUAUGUUCCGACCUGAUGCAAAACGCUCUUCAGGUAGUUGAGGGUUGGUGUCGCCAAUAUGGCCUUUCGGUUAAUCCGAGUAAAACAUCUAUUGUUCUUUUUACGGAAAGGCGAAACCGUAAUGGCGUUCGACCUUUGCGUCUUUUUGAUUCUGAAAUCGAUGUGACUGAACCGGUAAAGUACGUUGGAGUUAUUCUUGAUUCCAAGCUUUCCUGAACACCUCACAUUGAGUUCAGAAUCAAGAAAGUAUUGGGCCAUCUCCAAAGGACGUGCUUAAUGGCGAUGUCUGGAGCGUUCUCUUCAACUCCCACGGCAACGCUCAAAGUUCUCUUUGACGUUGCUCCACUACACAUGCAUCUCAAACAAGAAGCACUUUCUACGGGUACUCGAUCUACUAGAGGAAACUCCUGUGAACCGCACAUCAACACAUACCUCGUUGUUUACACUUUUGGUGAAUUGGGACAAAAUUGUCCUUGCUCCAAGUGAUCUUACAAUUGAUUGUAGGUAAUUUCCCAUAUAGGAUAUUUUCCACGAAAUUCCCUUCCCGGGAAGAGUGGACAUCUGGAUAUCUGGAGAGAAAUAUUUCAGACGGCAUCGUAUGUUACACUGAUGGCUCCCUUCUCGCAGGUCGAGCAGGUGCUGGUGUUUAUUCUCGUGAGCUAAGGCUAGGCUGACCAGAUUUGUCCCGUUUAAAUACGGGACACAAAUUGGAAACACAACAAAAAAUAUAUGAGUGUCCAAAAACAGAAGUGGAUGUUGUUGAUAAUGCUAUUUUAGCUGUGAAGAACGAAAAAUUUAGCCAAAAACAUGAGCAAUAUACUAGUGGCGAGUAUUUGAAAAUUUAGUUGUCCCGUUAAAUACGGGACGGAUGGUCAGCCUAGCUAAGGCUGCAUCAGUCUUACUCACUUGGUAGACACUGCACCGUCUUUCAGGCCGAAAUCUUUGCUCUUAUGUGCGGAGUGCAAUCAGCACUUCAGCAGCACGUGAUUUGCAAAGUAAUAUACUUCUGUUCAGAUAGCGAGAUUGCUAUUAAAGCACUUGCUUCGGCCAACUCCAGGUCAAGGGGUUCAUUCAAAUAUUACGUAACACUAACGGGGGAGGGAGGGGGUCUAGCGCUGUGUUACGCUUCAUACAAAAUUUCGAAAUCUCUCAUACAAAAUUUGUUACGUGGGGGAGGGAGGGGGUCUAAAAUUGCCAAAUUUUGCGUUACGUAAUAUUUGAAUGAACCCAAAGAUAGUUAUCGCUUGUCGAACUCAAAUCGAGGAGCUGAAUUCAGCAAACGCUGUUCACCUUGUAUGGAUACCUGACCAUUCUUCCAUCACAUGAAUUGAUUGAUGAGUUAGCUCGCACUGGAGCAUCACAUGACUUCAUUGGCCCUGAGCCAGCUAUUCCGGUAUCCAAGUCUUGGGUAAAGCUUCAGAUUGGCACCUGGGCUGCAACUCAGCACAAACAAUACUGCUAUAGUUUGGAGUCAUAUCGUCAAACAAAAUUGUAUUAUACUGAGCCAUCUGUAGGGGUGGCAAAGUAUCUAACAAAUCUGUCAAAGCAGAAUUGCAGCAUGCUGGUCAAAGCAUUGACUGGCCACUGCCGACUCAGCUAUCACAUGGCGAAUAUUCAGCAAGCUGAUUCAUUUGUAUGUGAUAGCUGUGGAUCCGAUUGGAACCUCGUAUCAUUUGAUAUGUAACUGUCUAGUUUUUGCGCAACUGCAUUUCCGAGUAUUCUGGGAAAACACUUAUUAUUGAAACUGACUUCAGAAACUUGAAUCUUCAGGACGUUCUGUUGUUCUUGACCCGCUGUGGUAAAGAGCUAUAGGCUCUCUUUACGCUUUAUGCGUUAUUACAGUGCUCUUCUCAGGGCGCUGUUUGAACCCAUUGUGGUACGCUUAUGCGUUAUUAGUGUCCUUUUCAGGACGCUAUGUGAACCUAUUGUGGUACGCUUUUGCAUGUAUGGCGAUUCUAUUCCCUUACCUGUCCUAUCCUUUUUUCUUCCCUUCUCCGUCAGGUAAAUGAUGAAUAGGAUCGUGUUCAUGGCGAUGGCACAAAUUUCCCAAAUGGAGAAAACGUGCCUCUGGAGCCGACCUACUGAUACCUGAUAGCAUACAACAAAACCAUCAAGCACCCAUUGAAUCGAUUCAGCAGUUACGAUGCUCUGUGCCGAAUUGAGAGACUCGUGACUACAUGAAAAUACAUCUGGUUCACCCUAAAAUAUCAACACAUCUUUGGAAAGUGUUAAUAUAUAUUGAAUCAACUUUCCAAAACUGUUUCCUGAGCUUAGCCUAAUUGUAAUUCGACCAGGGGGUUCCUGCCGUGGUCCUCAUAGACCGCAGAGGACAAGCUUCUUCGAAGGCUUCGAAUGCACGAUAAAGGACAUGGUAAUAACAACGGUAUCAUCACUUGGAAGUUCCAAUGCAAGGUAAAUACCCAUGAAAUUUAACCGCGACCGAAUCAACGAAGUGCUCUCUGGUUAAAGCUUAGUUUCUUGUUGCCAAGUAGAGCGCUCAAGUAAAAUUUCACCUUUUUCCUCAAGUAGAUCCAGUGUAACGAACGCGAAUCAAUCAAUUUGCAUUUCAAACUCAAGUUGUCAUUUUCCUUAAGUUAUACAGCGCACCGCAUGGCAUAUUGUUAGUUGCAAUAUGCGCAUAGUUGAUAAUUCUCUGCUACCCAAGACAAUUACGUCAUAAACUAAUCUUCUACGAAGGACCAAGAAAGAGACCCAUAAAUUGUAAUGAAAAUAGUGACGCACCGAUAGUGGCGGCGAUAACAAAGUAGAGAUAAUAAGAAAGGGACCCAAAAGAUAAUGAGUCAAAUCAGGUAGAAUGUAUUGUACAUUCAUUCAUAUAUAUAAGGCUUAGCAUUAGUAAUAAAGUUAGUUCUAGACCACAGUUCUACAGUGUAUGUUUUCUACAUCCGAAAACCGUAAAGCUCCGGUGUCACAUUUUGGUGAACUACCAGAGAGGAAAGUACUCGCGACGUUGUGUUGAAAUUGUGCAGUGAUACCGGCGCGCGGAGAUCAACUAGAAUAAGUGGAAAGGACUCCGACAAUAUAAAAAAGUUGUCGUAAUAAAUAGCUACAGUGAUUGAUUUUGUAACGUGGUUUACUGUCGCCAGGAGUGCAGUCUGAGUGUUGUGCAUUGUCACAAAAUUUAACUGUUACAAAUCUUGAGCCAAUAGUGGCAAACAUUCGAAAGUUGUGAAUAGAUAUUCACGAAUCGUGUCUAAAAUACCUUGUGUGUUGAAUAUUAAAACCCAGAGUGGUAAUUCAAGUGAAACUAGGACAUUGGACAUUUUUGAAAAUAGUGAAACUGCAGUGUGUGAAUUAACAAAAAGGUUUGGAAAUACCUUUAGAAGCUGUCAUCAGAAGUGAACGCGCAGAUCCGGCAAAAGGAAACAGAGAAGCAAAGUAGCAGCAAACAACCAGGUGAGAGUAAAGUGAACAUUUGCGAUGGCAAAAUCAAAAGCUAUGUUCCAAUUCGUGGAAAAUAAGAACGGAAACUGCCGUUUAUGCAAGGAAGCUGACACCAAGGAUAAUAUGGUGUCUUGUGACGAUUGUGAUAGGUGGUUCCACCUUAGUUGUGUGCACCUUAAGCAUACGCCGUCACAAGAAGAGCGAUUCCUUUGCGCCAAAUGCGAAUAUCUGGAAAUCGAACGAGCGACAUUAUUGGACGUAAAAGUGAAGUUUGAUUUAGCGAACCAGCUAAAUGAAUCGCUGAAAAUUCAACAAGAUGUGGCAAACAGACGUCAGUCUGAAGGUUCUUUAAAUGCGACGAGGCAAGCAUUAAUCAAGCUUCCAAAAUUUAGUGGAGAGGCUCGUGAAUGGCCGAAAUUCAAUAGCAUUUUUAAGGACACAUCUGCCGAAGGUAGAUUUACCAAUCUCGAAAAUUUAUCAAGAUUGGAAGAAGCUCUGUAUGGCCAAGCUGCCAAGAGCGUGUCAAAUUUGAUGAUAGGGGCUGCUAAUGUUCCUAGAAUAAUGCAACGGCUUGAAGAAAUUUAUGGGAGACCGGAGGCUAUUUAUCAGCAAUUAUUGAACGAGCUGAUAAAAACAUUGAAUCAACCCAAACUCCAUACUAUCGAUAUUGCUAACGCAUUGGACGAUUUGGUUGUGACAAUGGAAACAUUGGCCAAGCCAGAAUUCCUUCAUGAUUAUCGGUUAAUUACUGACAUAGUAUCAAAGCUACCAUUUAGUAUGCAGAUAACAUGGACAGAAGCGCUUCAAAGAAAUGUCAGUCAGCCAACUCUCCAUGAUUUGAAUAAGUGGCUGCAAACUCACGCAACGACAUUACGGAGAUUAGCACCACCUACAAGAAAGGAACAAAAGCCCAGAAUCAAUAUUCAUAACAAUCCUUCAAAAAUGCAGUGCAACAUUUGUAAGCAUGAGCAUCAAACGUUCAAGUGCAACAUAUUGAAAAACCUCAAUGUUGAGCAAAGGCAACAACGAAUUCAACAAUUGAAACUGUGUUUUUCUUGCCUGAACAAAGGACACGGUAGUAAGUUUUGCAGAAGCAAGCGAGAAUGCAAAAUAGACGGUUGCAAGGGAAUGCACAAUCGUUUAUUGCAUAAAGCAGCCGUCGAGAAACCCAAGGAAAAUCAAAAUCUGGAGAAGGACAAAACUAACAAUAAUCAUCAUGGAAGUCGAAAAUCAACGGUAUAUUAUCAAAUAGUACCAGUAACGUUGCAGAAUGGAAACCUCUCUUUGGAAACAUUCGCUUUCCUUGAUCCCGGCUCGUCAUUAAGCCUUUUGGAUCAAUCGGUAGCGGAUAAACUUGGGCUCCAUGGACGGUCAGAACCACUGGAAUUAACCUGGACGCAGAACGUUUCAAAGGAAUCACCUAGCCGAAGAGUACAGCUGUGGAUACGCGGACAUGGAGGAAAAACUUAUUCAAUGAAGGAUGUCAGGACCAUCGAGGACAUUGAACUUCCAACGCAAACAUUGGAUAUUAAACACAUGAAGAAGGAGUUCACUUAUUUAGCUGAUGUUCCAGUUCAGGGAUACGUCAACGCCAAGCCCACGAUUUUAAUUGGUAUGGAGCACGCUCAUUUGUUGUUGACGACCGACAGAAGGAUAAGUGACGAGAACUCGCCGAUGGCAGCGCGUACCAAACUAGGAUGGUUGAUUUUCGGUAAGGUAUAUAGAGGUGAGCCUUCAUAUUCUUUUUGCAUUAGAGAGCAUGAAAGUACAGAUUUAAGAGCAAUUUUUGAAAAUUAUUGUUCUACUGAAAACUUUGGAGUCAACGUCGUUAAUAAAUUACCAAAAUCAGCAGAAGUAGAAAGAGCUGAAUCAAUUAUUAAAAAUACAAUUAAAUAUGAAAACGGACAUUACUCAAUAGGAUUAUUGUGGAAAACUGAAAGCAUGAGUUUCCCUCCAAGUUUUAAUAAUGCUUUCAAACGUUUGGAAAUAUUGGAGAAGACAUUAGCUAGGAAACCAGAGCUAAGAAAAUGGGCAAUUGAGUCAUUUGAAGGAUUUGUUAAAAAGGGUUAUGCCCGUAAGCUUAGCCCACGUGAGCUACUACAGGAACAUCCAAACACCUAUUAUUUGCCUCAUUUUAUUGUGACAAAUAAAAACAAAGUCCCACCUAAAUCAAGAAUUGUUUUUGAUGCAGCUGCAGCAGUAGAAGGAGUAUCUUUUAACUCAGCACUGCUUUCCGGUCCUGACACAGUAAAAUCUUUGUUCGGUGUUUUGCUAAGAUUCAGAGAGUUCAAAAUCGCUGUUACAGGGGAUAUACAAGAAAUGUUUCAGCAAAUAAAAAUUGUUAUGGAAGAUCAGCCUGCACAAAGAUACCUUUGGAGACAAUGUGAGGCCGAUAGGGAUCCGAGCGUAUAUGUGAUGGAAUCAAUGAUUUUUGGAUCAACGUGUUCUCCUGCUUGUGCUCAAGCAGUGAAAAAUUAUAAUGCACAGCUUUUUAAGGAUGAUUUUCCAAAGGCUUCUGAGGCUUCUGAAAAUAACUUUUAUGUUGAUGAUUAUUUGGAUAGCUUUGAUGAAAUUAAAGAAGCAUCUGAAGUUGUUCAGGGUGUUAUAAAUAUUCAACAGUAUGCUGGAUUUCAUCUAAGAAAUUUUAUUACAAAUUCGCAACAGCUUGCCAACGUUAUUCCUUCAGAAAGACUUCAUGUUUCAGAAAUAAAAUGGUUCGAGAAUAAAGAAAUACCAACUGAUAAAGUAUUGGGUAUCUAUUGGAAUACAACAACUGAUUUGAUCGAAUUUCAAUUAAAACUUGAUCGAUUGGAAUUCACAAGGUUGAUUACAAAGAGAGAAACUCUCUCGUUUGUAAUGAGUAUUUACGAUCCCUUAGGGUUAAUUUCGAACUUCACAAUUCAUGGUAGAAUUCUUUUACAAAAAUGGCAUAAAGAAUCUUCUGAUUGGGAUAGCCAGUUACCAGAUAGUUUAUCAAAUUUUUGGAACUCUUGGAUAGAUAUGCUUAAACUUGUCACCCAUUUUAAGAUUCCAAGAUGUAUGACCUUGAAAAAUGCAUUGUUUUAUGAGUUGCAUAUGUUCGGAGAUGCUUCGGAAAAUGCUUUUGCUGCCGUUGUGUAUCUGAGAAGUGUUACUGCAAAUGGCACUGAUGUGAAUAUAGUAUCAGCAAAGGCAAGAGUUUCACCGAAUAAAAUGUUAUCCAUACCACGUUUAGAGUUGCAAGCAGCAAUAUUAGGGAUAAGAUUGUUGAAUACCGUAAAGAAAGAAUUAAGAAUUUCGAUUUCAAAAUGCGUCAUGUGGUCAGACAGUCAAACUGUCCUAGCCUGGAUUAAUAGUCAGCAUAGGCGGUAUAAGCAAUUCGUAGCUCAUCGAGUUGCUGAAAUCUUAGAAACAACUUCAAUGGAUCAAUGGAGAUAUAUAAAAUCAUCAUUAAACCCUGCUGAUGAAGGUACAAAAAUUAAAAAGGGAGCAUCAUUAUGGCUCAAUGGACCAUCGUUUUUAAGAAAAUCAGAAAGUUAUUGGCCAAACUGGACAGUAAGUAUGGAAACUGAUGAAGAGCUGAGAAACUAUGUAAACAUUCAUCAAAGAAUACAUCCUUACUCUUUUAUUCAGGACGAUUAAGCGAACUCUAAUAAUAAAAAAGUUUACCGAUUGGAUUAAAAAUAAAACAGAUUUUGAUCGUAGCACUAAUUAUGAUGAUGUAAAAUGGGUUGAAAACGCGAUAUUCAAAAAAGCUCAAUGGGAUUGUUUCGCAGAGGAAGUAACAUUACUGAAAGAAGGUAAAGAAAUUGAAAAAUCCAGCAACUUACGAAAAUUGAGUCCAAUGCUUGAUAAUCAUGGAAUACUCAGAGCAAGAGGAAGAUUGGAACACGCAAGAAGCAUACCCGAAUCAGCAAGAAAGCCAAUUAUAUUACCAUAUGAACAUAAUAUUUCUUUUUUAAUUGUAAAGACAUAUCAUGAACGGUAUUUGCAUCAGAAUGACAAUGUCGUGAUUGCAGCUAUUCUUCAAAAGUUUUGGAUUAUUAAACAAAGGUCACUUUUGAAAAAGGUCAAGAAAUAUUGCCAAGAAUGCAUUAUUGCUAACGCAAAACCAGUACCACCCAUGAUGGCACCCUCACCAGAUUUAAUCCCGAAUCAAGAUGAUCAUGAAGAAAUGUGCAAUCUACGUUCGAAUAAAACCAUAAGAACAAAAAAUCCUAGUAACUUCAUAUCGUUUAUGUUGCUUGUAUACAUGUUUACAUUAAUCUUUGGUUUCGAAACUAGAGGAUUGAUAGCAUUUGAUUGUGCCAACCCAGAGGUAAACAUGACAAGUUACUCGCUUCUUGAUGUAGCUUCUUGUAUUCCUCAGAAAAGUAAUUUGAGUUCAACAGAAAUAACAAUACAGGUUUUACAAAGGAAUGUAAAAAGUUUAACUAAAGUUCUUCAAUGUAAGGUAAUAAUUCGAAGGUCCAUAAGACAUUGUGGAGCAUUUUCGCAUACUUCAGAUUAUCAGUAUGGAUAUUCUUACAUCGUCAAAGAGUUCAAUUCAGAAGAAUGUACAAAGGUACACGCUUUAGGAAUUGUAUCGCUGACUCAUUAACUAAUUUUUUGUCGCAUAAAAACAUUAGAAGGGAGACGGUAAACAAAAUGGAAAAUAAUAGAUGUUCAGAAGAGAAUCAACAACCAAACAAUGAAACAGAAGAAACAAAAAUGAACCUGUAUAGAGGAAAUGUGUAUCCAAAAUUCAACACAAAUGUCUAGUCCUAAGUAAAAAGACAAUAUUAAUAUCAUUUCAUAUAAUAAGUAAUAAAUCGCUUAUCGACAAUUAUUAUUGUAAAUCUAGUAGAUUUACGGGGUCCGGAAUGUAACGAACGCGAAUCAAUCAAUUUGCAUUUCAAACUCAAGUUGUCAUUUUCCUUAAGUUAUACAGCGCACCGCAUGGCAUAUUGUUAGUUGCAAUAUGCGCAUAGUUGAUAAUUCUCUGCUACCCAAGACAAUUACGUCAUAAACUAAUCUUCUACGAAGGACCAAGAAAGAGACCCAUAAAUUGUAAUGAAAAUAGUGACGCACCGAUAGUGGCGGCGAUAACAAAGUAGAGAUAAUAAGAAAGGGACCCAAAAGAUAAUGAGUCAAAUCAGGUAGAAUGUAUUGUACAUUCAUUCAUAUAUAUAAGGCUUAGCAUUAGUAAUAAAGUUAGUUCUAGACCACAGUUCUACAGUGUAUGUUUUCUACAUCCGAAAACCGUAAAGCUCCGGUGUCACAUCCAGUAUGGGGAGAAACGUCACUUUUCCUUACGGAAUAAUAGCGCGGACUAUUUUUCCGCAAGGAAAAGUGACAGCUCCAUUUGAUUCGCACGGGAGGCGUUACGAGUGUUACACUUUUUUCCUUAAGCGCACACGUUUAUUCUGCGUGUCGUACGACACGCGACGACAAUUCUCACCUCGUUGUCACGCGACUCUUGUCACUCGAUUCUGAUUGUCGUCUCGAGUGAGGUGAGAGCUUCAUUUUCGAUGUGAGAGAAGAAAUGAACCAAAACAACUACGAUGUUCAUCUGCCAAACUGUCAACGCGGUGAUGUUUAGCGAAAGCGCUUGAAAUAUGGCGUAUUCAAUUAUUAAUAUUUUUAAAAUUGUAUUUCGAUCUUGUUUUUUUCGAAGUAAAAUAGGAAAUUUCUAGAAUAAGCCACGUAUUUCAUAUGUUUUCAUCGUGUUUUAUUGCUUAGGUGGUAAUUUAUUACGGUACACCGACAUUUGCCUCGUUAUUUACAUGACGCAACUAUAAUUUCGUUUGGCCCUUAUUUGAGUUCACAAAAUUAGUCUUGUUUUGCUGUAUCCCGCGGGACUUCUAUGAAGGAAAAUUGUUUCAAACUGCUGAUAUUUUUGAUAGUGACCGGGAAAGAACCGUAAAAAUUAUUAGAGCCGUUUCUCCCAAUUGUUGCUGAAUAAAUAAUUCUUCCAGAUCUAGAGCGCGCAUCGUUUGUGAAUCGUUUGCCAUCACAAGCUAAUCCCUGGGAAAACAACUGCCGCGUCAAAACGGAAAAAGUGCUGGCGAAAACACGAGCGGAUCAAAGUACAUCCGUGGCCGUGGUUCUAAUUACUUGACCGCAUCCGUUAUCAAGUCACGAUAGACAAAUUUAGCACUGCAGAGGAUCCUGGUGAACAAAUCUCGUGAUGAAAAUGCCGGACGCGGCAGAUAAGGCUGUUGAAGAUGGUCAGUAACGCGGCGGAUUGGUGUCAACCGUGUUAAUUCAAAUGAUCAGCUGCCAGCAUCCGGCAAACGAGCUGAAUGGUGUUUUCGAAGACAGUGCGAAACCUGCGGACGUUUCUGGUAGCGGAAUGAACGAAUGUGGCCAAUGAUUUGUAUACAUGAACAUGUCCCUCCUUGGCUUCGCGAGGUGCGUGUCGUUUUACACCUUAGUGAAGAAAUCUGUGCCCAUUUUCCGGUUUCGAUCUAGGGUGACAAUGGGUAUUAUCGGCAGGUUUGUUCUUUUCGUCAUGGGGGUUUUUUGUCAGCCAAUUUCCUGAAACUUGGCCAUAUAAUUCAGCUUAGUUGUGAAGGAUGUGAGACCAACGCUGAGUUCAAUAGGUUUCAAAAAACCCCCAAAGACGAAGAGAACAAAACGGCCGAUAAUAGGUAAUUUCCCCUACUUGUUUUUGAUUUUGGCAGGUUGAGUAUACCACCAUCGCGUCGCGUACCAUGAAAAAAGUACGCUUGUUGUACACAGCGUGAGCGUGGUGCCGCUGAUGGUGGUCGAAAACGGGACUGCUGUAUAGAGAAGAAAGCGUACCUAAACGACUGUGUUGAAGAUAUCUCAGCUGUUUUUAAAGCAAUUUUAAAUGAAUAAAACAAAAUAUGCAUUGCAAUUUAUUUUCAAUUUAUCACUAUCAUUAAUUCUGACUACGCAAUUAUUCUUAUAUGUGAAAAUCCACCUGGAAAGUAGGAAAUACGUGGAUUUUUGUGUACUAGUGUGUACUAAAUAACUGGAAAGUCCUCAGAGAAUCUCCAGGAGGAUAACACAAGUUUUGCGAAGCCGAAAUAUCUCAAUAAAAGACAAAAAAAAGUUAAACUUUUGCGGCUUUUACUGGUUUAUUUUCGUCUUUUCCGUCGUCACCUAUACUGCCCCCACUCGCAUAACAGUCCCAUCUUUGCUGGGAUUCCUAUUCAUAUGUGACAGUUUUGCGAGUGGGGGCAGUAUAAGAAGGGUAUAAAUACCACUUGGAGAACCUGCUUUCGGUCGAAAAAUCCGAAGUGACCUACUUAUCUACUUAGAAAUGUCGCAACUCAAUUUGAAUUAGUGCAUAUUGUAGUUCUUAAUUAGCUUAAUAAUGCGCAAUAGAAAAACUAGAUUCAAAUUUACUUCGCAGCUGCAACUUCGAAUGUGCUUCAAGCGACGACUUCGAUUUGGUGGUGCGACGAUAAUAUUUGGUUACAGAGAUACCAUUCGAAGAGUAUUUCAGAGUAGUACAAUUUAGUUAUUUAGAAUUUCUGGUGGAUCAUUGAAGACAUGCGUCGAAGUUUCUGGAAAAUAUCUGACGACCCUCUUAGCGAAACCCCCAAAGUAUUUUUUGUCUGAUCUCUUUUGAUCUUUCUAUAAGACGUAUGUUCAAUAUGUAGAAACAUAUUGAACAGAAUUCUAGGAGUAAUCUGUUUCGAACAGAAUAUCAAGAAUAAUCUUAUGUAAUAUAUUAGAAUGAACUCUCUUAUGAUUCCUUCUGGGACUCCUCCAGGGAUUCCCAAAAAAAUGCUUAAGAGUGAUUUAUUUAACAAAAAUGUUUGCUAAGUCCUUUUGAAGCUUCUGCAGGAAUUCCCUCGGAUUUUUUUUUCAGAAAUUGCCUUCAGGAAUUCCUCCAAAAUUUCUCCGGGAAGUCCCAAAACCAGUUCCAAAAAGAAUUUCUCCGAGAACUCUGUCAAGAAUUUCUCCAAAUAUUCUUCCAGUAGUUCCGCUGGGAAUUCUUCCAGGAGUUUCUCCGGGAUUAAGUAAUUUAUCUGAACAUUCCUGGACAGAAUUCUUGGAGGAACUCCUGGAAGGAUGCCCGGAGAUAUUCCUGGAAGAAUUUUCGGAGAAACUCCUGCAAGAAUUCGAAGAGAAACCCUUAGAAGAAUUCUUAGAGGAAUUCUUUGAAGAAAUCUUGCAGGAACUCAUGGAUAAUCUCUACAGGAACCUCUGUAAAAGUUCCCGAACAAACUUCUGCGGAAUUUUUCGGAGCUACUCCUGGAAGAAUUCCCAGUGGGAUUCCUGGAAGAAUUAUUGGAGGAACUCCUGGAAGAACUUCUGGAUGAACUCAUGCAGAAAUCCGUGGAGAAAGUCUUUGUAGAAUUCUUGGAGAAAUUCCUGGAGAAUUCCUGAAGUCACUCCUGGAAGAAUUCUUGGAGAAACUCGUGGAAGAAUUCCCCGGAGAUAUUCCUGAAAGAAUUCCCGAGAAAACUCCUGCAGAAAUCACCCGAGGAAAUCCUGGAAGAAUUCCCAGAGGAAGUCCUGUAAGAAUUCUUGGAGGAACUCCUGGAAGAAGGUCUGAAAGAAAUCCAGGAGAUAUUCCUGAAAGAAUUCCCGAGAAAACUCCUGCAGAAAUCAGCAGAGUAAAGCCUGGAAGAAUUUUCCCUAGAAUACCUGGAAGAAUUCCCGCAGAAACUUCUGGAGGAAUUCCUGGAGAGAUUCCCGCUGGAACUCCUACCUAGAGGAAUUCCAGAAAAAAAAACUUAGAGGAACAUCUGCAGAGAUUGAGCAUAAGCAUGAGCAUGAGAUGACCGUACAAUUCGUAGUUGCUACUCCGUUACUGACCAGAACGGUCAACAUUGCACAGGGAACCAAAUGGAUGGGUCCUGGGUGUAGCUUUCCAUCCUCAAUCUGCAAUUUUUAAGGUUCAAAACUUUAUAUUGUCAGUACCGGCGCCGGCCACGUCCCUACGGUCAUCGGGGAAGGGAAGGAAUGUUGGUGUGACAUCCGUUGCUACUAGAGACCGUGUGUACCUCCGCAUCCCCACGGUUGUCACAGGAAGGAAGUUUGUUAGUGGGAAGGGAAGGGAUAGAAAGUUACAUAGAUCUGGAUUCACAUUGGUAAGUGAUGUGAGCUAUGCAACCCUUGAUAUGAUUUAGUCUUCCGCCAGCCGGCUGUCGGAAGAAUACAAUAAUUUUAUUGUAUGUUUGUGUAUUAAAUUUAAUUAUAUACCGGGUAUGAAUAUUUUUUAAACCACGCUUAUGUCGGAUCAACUCGUAAUAACGCACGUUUUAAGCUUAUCGUUUCUCAGUCAGAAAAUAAACUGUAUGCAAUUCCGUUAAGUGUUACUGAAAA